CACAGCCAAACCACCACCUCACCAACAACACCAAAAAAAAAAAAAAAAAAAAAAAAUCCAUUCAGAUCACCACCACCUUCACCCACCAACUCCAAAACCCAAAAAAUCCCCAAAAGCAUUGAACGAACAAAAGCGCAGAAUGCACAAAAGCGCAGUGGUUGUGUUGCAGUCGAACCCCCAAAAGUCACAUUCACACAUUCUUUUAGGUCACAACAUCCAAACAAUGAUCACACUCUUCCUUCUCACUCCACUACUGUCAUCGUUGCCAUCACCAAGAGGACCACCACACUAACAUCAACUUACCAUCAUCACCAACAACGCCACCACUUCACCACCUCCAUACCUUCACAGUUGCCAGCUGAUAAUUCUAAAACCACCACCACACCCACACCCACACCCACCACAAACCACGAUCACAACAACCACAUAGACCACCACACAUCACAACAAUCGCACAAAAAUCACCACAGCAACCAUUGGCCACACAAGCCACCUAUAAACUUCUUUUUGUAAUUAUUUUGGGAUCGAAAUCACCAGCAACCUCAUGUUGACCUCGCCAUCUAGAUGGCACUUGUUUAGAUGUUGACUCGAUCUCGUUCACCUUGCCAAUGUCGACUUAGAUUCAUGUUGGGUGGCGCUCUAAGCACCACGUGCAAGGGCGAAUAGAGAGCCACUAUGCUUCGCCACUGUACAUGAAGAUGAGCACUACCCAUCGCGACGAUUGGAAGAAAAUAGAGCGACGAUUUGGGCAAUGAUCUGGCAGCAGCAUUUGUAUCCGCACUGAUGAAGAAGAAAACAUAAUGGCAGGUGAAAGAAGAAAAUAACGGGAAGAGAGAGAGUG
rnacentral:lncRNA from 1 species